GACGUAGGUGGCGAACGUUAUCCGGAAUUAUUGGGCGUAAAGGGUGCGUAGGUGGCCUUGGCAAGUUAUUAGUGGUAAAUCGAGGCUCAACCUCGUGGAAACUAGUAAUACUGUUCGGCUUGAGUGCAGGAGAGGUUAACGGAACUCUAUGUGGAGGGGUAAAAUCCAAUAGAUAUAUAGGAUGAACAUCAAUAACGGGCGAAGGCAGUUAACUAUUCUGUUACUGACACUGAGGCACGAAAGCGUGGGGAGCAAAACGG
rnacentral:rRNA from 1 species